CGGAGGAUGCAAGCGUUAUCCGGAUUCAUUGGGUUUAAAGGGUGCGUAGGCGGGGUAAUAAGUCAGUGGUGAAAGCCUACAGCUUAACUGUAGAAUUGCCGUUGAUACUGUUAUCCUUGAGUAUAGUUGAGGUAGCUGGAAUGUGUGGUGUAGCGGUGAAAUGCUUAGAUAUCACACAGAACACCAAUUGCGAAGGCAGGUUACUAAACUAUAACUGACGCUGAGGCACGAAAGCGUGGGGAGCAAACAGGAUUAGAUACCCUGGUAGUCCACGCCCUAAACGAUGAUCACUCGCUGUUGGCGAUAUAUUGUCAGUGGCUAAGCAAAAGUGAUAAGUGAUCCACCUGGGGAGUACGACCGCAAGGUUGAAACUCAAAGGAAUUGACGGGGGCCCGCACAAGCGGAGGAACAUGUGGUUUAAUUCGAUGAUACGCGAGGAACCUUACCUGGGCUUAAAUGUAGAGUGCAUUUUCUAGAGAUAGAAAUUCCCUUCGGGGCUUUCUGCAAGGUGCUGCAUGGUUGUCGUCAGCUCGUGCCGUGAGGUGUCGGGUUAAGUCCCAUAACGAGCGCAACCCCUAUUUUUAGUUGCCAGCGGGUAAUGCCGGGCACUCUAAUAAAACUGCCAGCGUAAGCUGUGAGGAAGGUGGGGAUGACGUCAAAUCAGCACGGCCCUUAUAUCCAGGGCUACACACGUGUUACAAUGGUCGGUACAGAGGGCAGCCACUUGGCGACAAGGAGCUAAUCCCUAAAGCCGAUCUCAGUUCGGAUCGGAGUCUGCAACCCGACUCCGUGAAGCUGGAUUCGCUAGUA
rnacentral:rRNA from 1 species